GACGGGAGGAGAGGAAUGAAUAGAUGAAUUGAUUACAAGCUGAAGAACUGUAAAUCCAGAUAUUCUUUAUGCACACGUCCCUGUGUUGUGCUGUUUUUUGAUGGGAUCCCGCAGGUUACAUCUGUUCUCCUGCAGCAGGUAUUAACUGAGAUGUGUGAGUGCAUGCAUCUGGAACACAAGCCCACUUCCGCUUGGUUCAAGCACAACCCAUCGUAGACCAUAUUGCCAUUUUUAUUAUUUUUUUCCCCUGUUAAGAUUCAACUAUUAUUUCACCAGGACUAUUCUAGCACAGAUGUGAACAUACAGAUACCAACUUCUACUGCUGCUCAUACUCUUAAUUCAAAUAACCAUGCCAGCAGUGGAGAUUUACCUCAUAUAAUACCUCAUCUACAGGCGACAGACGGGACAUGAACACCUGCAAAAUGCAAUGCAAUUCAAUACAACAUCCCUGCAUGUAUUAAGAAGUGAAAUAGAAAAUAAGUGUGAGAUUUGGUACAUUUUUGAUGCCUCAAUGUCAGCUGGUGGUGUAUUGACUUGGAUUAUACUGUAAGGUGUUCAUGUUUUUUUGUCCACCCUUGACUAUACAUGUUUAAUAGCCACAAAAGGCCAAAUCUGUCUUUUUUUUGUGGUCCAUUUUAUUAACUAUAGUUCUCGCUGUCUGCUGCACCUCACGGUCGCAUUAUGUUUACUCAUUGGAUUCCCUCAGCUGAGAAGAAGUACUAGCACAUUAAAUGCACCUAAAUGGUAACCACAAAUAGUCACACGAGUAGCUAAACUUCUUCAAGUAGGUUAAUGGACCAAGCAGAGUGUAGUUACAUUUAAAUGCCAGGUUAAUUACGACAGAAAUCGUCAUUCUAGUUUCCAAAGAGACAUCAAGGGUGACUGAAUGUGUUACCUCCAGAGGAUAGCAAUCUGGAUCUGCUCAUUUCAAGGGAAUUUGUUCCAGCACAAAGUUAAAUGGGGAGGGGAGGGGAGAGGGGGGGGGGGGGGUAUUUUAGCUGAUGAAUGUUGAAUGACAUUUUUUUUGCAUCGACAUGUUUACUGUGAAUGACAAAUCCUGGUAUAAAAACAUAAAAGUAUAUUGUAUGGUUGUGUAUGCAUUUAUGCCUUCUAACUUGUAUUUCUUUAAAUGUUCUGAGGCAUUUUUUUUCACUCUGCAUGCAAAUCGUGAAUAAAUUCUUUUUUUUUCCUCA